UUCUAUAGUAAUACACAUUAUACAGGCCAAUAUGAAUUCAACAUAAGCUCAAAAUGGCAAUUAUUGUCUUCUAAUGUCUGCAAACUAUAGAGUCCCAUACAGUGUUUUCACUGUAUGACCCAGACCUCCCCCAUCAUGCUCAGCCAAAAGCCUAUUCUGUACAGAUUACAUUUAGUCAGUUUUUUAUUCAUUCAUCAUUCAUUGGAUUGGGUAUCGUCUGUAUGCAAAUCCUUCUGUGGGGUGCUGGAGAUACAAAUUUGAUAGCUGGAUGGACACACAGUCCCUGCCCUCAAUGCACCCAUGAUCUAGUACCAUAUGAAUUGAUGGAUAUUAAAUUGUUAUGAUAACCAGCGAUGAGGAUGAUGUCAGCAUUGUUUACAAGUUGCCAUGGGAGCACAGGAGGAAGUAGUUAGCUUUCUUUUGCAAUGACUCAGAUCAGGUUUCACAGAAGAGAAGAUCAAUGGGGCUGGAAUGAUCAGUAAGACUUUCCCAGGCAGCUGAAGGGGGUCAUGUUAGGCAAAGGGAAGAGCUUGUACAAAAGCAUGAGUCAGGAAAGCCUAGGUUAUGCUUUGGUAAUAAUAUGACCCUGAAGCCUUCGUAGCUGAAGAUAGCUGAAGUUUAUUUCUCACUCAGGUCACCUGCCUAAUCAGGUCAGCUGGACAGGAGGAGUAAGGAGCAGGGCCCUGCUCCACACAGUCACUUGGGGACCCAAGCUAGAGGGUCCAGCUGUACCACCUGGAACAUGUGGUUUGUAAGCUGGCAUUGCAGGAAAACAAAAAAAGCUGGAAUUUAGCACACUGGCUCUUCAAUGCUUCAGCUCAGAGGUGACACAUAAAAUUUUCAUCCACAGCCCAUUGGCCAGAACUAAUCACAUGCCUCCCGGAGUUGCAAAAUGUACAGGAACACAUGGCUAUUCCAUGAGUAAUAAAUGUCUCUGCUACAAGCACAAGGCAUGAAACUGUUUCCUGGGUUUAGGGAACUGUGAAUGGUUCACAAUGACUGGAGAAGAGAUUGCAAGAGGAAAUGUCUAAAGAGGAGCUCGGAAAAGUAGGGAUGAGAUGAUGAAAUCUCAUGUGCUCUGCAUAGGAAUUUGGACCACCUUAUGUGCAGAGCAGAGCUUGAGAAGAGUUCUAAACAUGGUAUCAUGGUAAUACUUGUGUUUUAAAAAUGUCUCAGCCAGGCACGGUGGCUCACGCCUGUAAUCCCAGCACUUUGGGAGGCCGAGGUGGGCGGAUCACCUGAGGUCAGGAGUUGGAGACCAGCCUGGCUAACAUGGUGAAACCCUGUCUCUACUAAAAACACAAAAAUUAGCUAGGCAUGGUGGCGGGCACCUAUAGUCCCAGCUACUUGGGAGGCUGAGACGAGAGAGUCACUUGAACCUGGGAGGUGGAGGUUGCAGUGAGCCGAGAUCGCGUCAUUGCACUCCAGCCUGGGCGACAGAGCGAGACUCCAUCUCAAAAAAAAAAAAAAAAAAAAAAAAAAAGUCUCAUGCAGCAAUGCAGAGAAUGAGUUAGAGGGGGUUGAAACAAGAGAUAGAAAAACUAGUUUGAUUCUUAUAGUUGCAUAGGUUAAAAAUGAUGAAGAAACUAAAACAGGGAUUUGGGGGAUGAAUAUGAGAACUCUUAAAGAGAUACUUGUUAGAACAUCAUGACUAUGUAGAUAUAAAAGAAGGAGAAGAAUAGAAUGACUUCCAGGUUUCUGCUUUAGGGCCUAGUGCCCCCAAUCAGGAUAAGGAGUACAGGAAAAUGAGUGAGUCCGGGGAAAAGACAUGGAGGCCAAUUUGAGAUCUGGUGAGUUUGAGUUACCCACUGCCUAUUGCUAUGUGUUGAACUGUGUCCUCCCAAAAGAUGUAUUCAAGUCACAAUCCUCAAUGUCUCAAGAUGUGACCUUAUUUGGAAGUAGGGGAGUUGCAGAUAUAGUUUGUUAAAAUGAGGUCCUCUUGGAGUAGUGUGGGCCUUAAUAUGACUGGUGUCCUUAUAAGAAGACAGUCAUGUGAUCAUGGAGGCAGAGAUUGGAGUGAUGCACCUACAGGCCAAGAAAUAUCAAAGAUUGGCAGCAAACUCCAGAAGCUAGAAGAUGUCAGAAGGAUUCUCCCUAACAGGCUUCAGAGGGGGCAUGGCCCUGCGGACUUUCCAAUUUCAGACUUCUAACCUCCUGAACUGUGAGAUGGUGAAUUGUUGUUUAAAGCCACCCAGUUUCUGGUACUUUAUAUUGGCAGCCCUAAGAAACUGAUGCAGGUAUCCAGGUGGAUCUGUCCAGUUGAAAGAUUUGGAUGAAGGCAGACCAGUCUUCUUCCAAAAGCCCAAGAAGGGAAUACUAAGGAACAACAGAGCAUGCUGGGGCCUGCGCUGGAAGAAGGUUAUUCUGUCCAGGGGUGGAGAGGAGGAAAGGGGAUUGCACAGGGAAACCUCACGAUGAGGAUGACAUUUGAAAAGGGCUUUGGGGAAUAAAGAGCAAUCUUUUUCUCUCCUAGCUGAUGAUAAACUCCUGGGAGCCAAGUUCACAUAUCUAUUCAAGUAAAAGUAUUUGACAAAUAUCUAUUAAUAACGCAUUUUUGUGUUGGGCUCUGUGCUAGGUAUUAAGGAUAUAAUGGUGACCAAAAUGGGCACAGUCCUUAUUCUCAUGUCACUUAUAAUCUAGUGAAAAGACAGACAUUAAUCAAGUAGUCACCCAGAAAAAUAUAUAAGCAGUCAUUCUGAUCAAUGAAAUGGAAAGAAACUACCAAGUGUUAAAAGAACAUAUUGCAAGGAAAUUGUUCUAGCCUGGAGUUUGUGAAACGCUUUUACAGGAAGCGAUGCUUGAGCUGAGAUCUGAAGUUAAAGGAGUCAAUUUCAAAGAAGGAAAGGCAGGAGAAGCAGUCCAGACAAAGGCUCUGACAGAGGAAGGAAUGGGUUUGUGCAGAUUUGGGAAUCUGAAAGACAGCCAGUGUCAUUGCAGGACUGAAAGUAGGUGGAGUUCAGCAGUGGUGGGGAGGGACAAGGUCAGGUGUGUGUGUGUGUGUGUGUGUGUGUUUCGAUCACCUGGAUGAGUAUGGUUGGAGAAGGGCUGGAAGCAAAUAAAACCAUUGAAAAAGAUUGCACUGGUCCAGCCCAAAGAGAAUGGUGGCCUGAACCAAUAUGGUAGCAGUGGAGAUCAUGAGUUCAAGAAGUAUUUCUUUGGCAUCUAAUGAAGAAAAACAUAAGUUAAGAAUGAAAUCACCUCUCUGUAGAUACAGCUUUUCCAUACUUCUCCCUGCCUUGGGGUUUUAAAAGACCAUCUGUCUGAAAAAGUGACGUUGAUGCUUCAGUAAAAAACACCUUGACAUCUGGUAAUAAAGACUCAGUCUACAAUGAAGUGGAAAUUGAAUGGUGUUCUGGGGUUAUAGUGAGACUCUCUCAAGUUGGGGAGAGGGAGGCACAUAAAAGAGAGAACAAGAGGUUAGACCCUUGAAGACUUUCACAGGCCAUGGAGGACCCAAGGCAAGGUCCUGUCUGAAGAAAGGGAUUCCUACAGCACCUGCCAGCAGUAAGCUUCUCUCUUAAGCUUCUAGAGUCAGGUUUUACUCCUCUGCUGCACUUAAACUCUGGAUAUGAGAUAGGAAUGAAGUCCGGAGGCUGUGGCUGUUGCAUUACAUAAGAGGGUGUGCCUCUUCCCAGGGGUGUGGCUUGCAGUUGACCUUCUCCUGAGUAUUACAUGCCCAGCUCCUGAAGGUGGGUGCUAUAGUUUGGAUGCUUGUCUCCUCCAAAUCUCAUGUUGAAACUUGAUCCCCAAUGUUGGAGGUGGGCCAAAUGGGAGGUGUUUGGGUCAUGGGGAUGGGUCUCUUGUGGAUAGGUUGAUGCUCUCCCUGGGGGAGGGUGGUGAGUGAAUUCUCAUUCUUUUAGUUUCCUUGAGGGCUGAUUGUUAAAAAGAGCCUGCACCUCCCUCCCCUUGCUUCCUCUCUUGCUAUGUGGCUUUUGCACACGCUGGCUCCGCUCUGCCUUCUGCCAUGAAGGGAAGCAACCAAAGGACCUCAUCAGAGCUCUUCUUCCUGAGUGCUGACUAGGGUGGCCCCAGGCACACCACUAAACACCUGGCUGCAGACCCACAGAGGUGGUCACAGAGCCCCCGCCACGUCACCUGCCCAGGCCCACUUCUGCAGUGGCCUUGUGCUUUGCUUCUGAAAGACGACCUGGUGACUUAGCCUGAUUCAAACACCUUCUGAAUCUUCACUUCUCCAGCGCUUCACACAGUUGAGUUUGGUCUAAUUCUGUAACAAAAUCCAGGAUCCCAUGGCACUUGGAGCAACUCUUCUCCUGUUUACCAAACCAGACACACAAACCUCCAAAUGGACAUUGUUGUUCUAUCUACAGGCCACCCCUGAGAGGGAGCCGAACCGAGUGUGCAAGCUGAAGAGAGUCCCAUCCUGUUCCAGGUAGUAGUACACUUCUUGAGGCCUCAUAAUGUCUUAAGAGACAUAAAUGGCAUCUAAAGAUUGACACCACCAAGUGCACAAAUGAGUGUUGGGGGAAAUAUAACCCAAAACAUGGCUUAAAAAUUUGGCUCUGAGAAUCCUCACACAGUUGCCUCUCCGCUCCUUGCCUAGUCAGUCACAGGCUGAGACUGUCCAACCUACAUCCACAGGCUCAUGUCAACAGUCCUUUCUGCCCAACCCAAUCUCGUAACAGGACUCACUGCCACAUACAAUGAUGGAGCUGGUCUCAUCAGUGCUAAACUCACACCCUGUGUAGAGGUGUUACAACUUACGUAAUAAACACUCAGAUAACAACACUGGAUGCAGACACCAAUAUCUCAAAUAAUCUCACUGAUGGUUGGGUCAUGACCACACGUAGGCCACAGGUGUUCAUAAGGCAUUCCUUUACUCCUGGGCUGAAAAGCAAAAAUCCAAAGUUAAAAAAAAAAAAAAAACCACCAUAAAAAUGUGAGCAUGAAUUAUUUCUUGUUUUAUUGCUUUCUUG
rnacentral:lncRNA from 10 species